UAGCGGUAUUCAUUGAACUGUGUUCAAAGAUAUGUGUUAUUUAGAUUAAAACUCUGUAUGUUUAUCUUAUGUUUAUUUUUUUACAAAUUGUAGGCCUAUAUUUUAACAUAAUGUUUUUCAAUAAGCAUAUAGUAACAGAUUCAACACCAACUUACUGACUAUUUAUUAUUAUCAGCCAGGUUAUUGUCUGAUCGUAAUAUAGCAAAUUUAUUAAAAUCUAGCACGCCGCUGUCAUUUAUCUUAUGUUUAUGUUAUUAACAAUACAAAAUACUUAAGUGGUUAAUACUAUAUGCUCAUCUUGUUUUCAAUUCCAGUUUAUAUGUAAUUCAAAGUAAAUAUUUGAUAAAGAAAAUGUCACUAAUUAAACCAAAGAAAAAUGACAUUGAACCAACAAAAUUAAAAAAAUCGGUUAAAAAGAAAUACUUAAAAGUAUUGAAGUCAACAAACAAAAUAUGGUUGGUUGGAUAUCCUUUGGAAAACAAGCUCUUUGCCCACUACCAGAAAUGUUUAUAAAUUUUUCAGGUAUCACUUGCAAGUUAUUGAUAGCUCUUAUCAAGAGUUUACUAAAGUUAGGGAGGCAUUGCACACUCAAAGCAACAUUUCAAAAUCUAGGUUAGCUGCAUUGCUUACUAUUAAAUCAGUCAAGCUCUUUUGGGAUAAGGCUGCCAUUCCUUAUAAACAAGACAAGUACAGUAUUGAAAAUAUUUUAAGGCUACAUGAAAAAUGGAGGUUGCUUUCAAAAUCUAAAAAUAGAAUUUCUAAUAAGAAGAUUUUACUUGAACAAAACUUUAUUCAAUCAUUAGAUGGCAUUUUUGAUAUUAGUUCUCCUAGUUGGAAAGAUGACAUUAGAAAAACCAGAUCAGCUAAGGAUGCCGAUGAAGACAUUGCCUGAUUUACAGCUCUUCAAAAUGGAAUAAAAACUGGAGGAAUUGGUGUAAAAGAUAAUGUGCUACAUUCUAGUGUUAGAAGAAAAAAAGAAGGAAUCGAAAAGAAACAGGUUGCAACUGAAAAUGAAAAAAGAAGAAAAAUAGAUGAUGAAGAAACUGUUCAGUUGGUUGGUUAUAGUAGUGACUCAGCUGAAGAUUCUUAUGUCACUAAGUCUAGUCGUUCUAUGAAGUCUGCAUAUCAAAACUCUCCUAUAAGUAAUCCUGAGUUUAAUACUUCUAAAAGGCAGCAAGGAGAAAAAAAAGACACCGGAUCAGAUAGUAUCACACUGGUUUUGCCAAAAAACUUAAUUUCUCACCCAAUGAUAACAGCAACUGCAGAUAGAACUAAGCUAUCAAAUCCUCAGCUGAUGAUGAAUACUUCUGCCAUUCUAGUUUUAGGUUCGUUUUUUAUUAUUAAAUAAACAAGAUUAUUGUAUACAAUCUAAAAAGAAAUUUUAAAACUUUUAAAACAAAUCUCAGAGCAAAAGUUUGAGUGUUUAACUGUUUUGGUCAGUGGCUUUCCUAAUUGUGUUGAAGGAAAAAUAUUAUCAAUAAAACCUAUACAGUUUGGAACAGGACUUGCUAUUUGUAAAGGAACCUUGGAAGACUUAGAGGGAUGGGAUCUCAAAGCCAACAUUAAUGCCCAGGUUUUAGAUACGACUGCAUGUAAUACAGGAGUUAGGAAUGGAGCUGCAACUCUUUUAGAGGAUUGUAAAUCAAUGAAAACUCUUCUUAGGCUGGCUUGUCGCCAUCACAUUUUAGAAUUGAUCUUGGGAGCAUUUUGGAGCUCCUUAUUUAAAAAAGAAAAAAAAGCUAAUUAUAAUAUAGAUUUCAAUAACUUUCAACAAGAAUGGAUUUGCGCAGAGAAGGUUCCUCUAAAAAAACUAAACAAAUUUCUAGAUCUUGAAAAUUCUUUUCUUAAAACGAAAGCAGACGAAACUCGUGUGUUCUUAGAGAAACAAGUAAAAUGUAAGCAUCGCAGAGGUGAUUACAAAGAAGCUGCAGAGAUAGCACUUUAUCUUUUAGGCAAACCAGAACCUAAAGUAUGGAAAACCUGUGGAGCAAAUCAUCAUGCCAGAUGGAUGUCACACUUGUUGUAUGCACCGAAGAUCAUCUUUAAAGAAGAUUUACUCGAUUCUGAUAUGGAAAAGUUAAAAAUCUUUUUGACUUUUAGCUCAGUUUUAUAUGUUAAAGCUUGGCUAGAAGCAACAAAAGGCUCUGAUGCACCAAUUAACGAUAUUAAUUUAUACAAUGAUCUAGGCGCUCUAGAGCAGAUCUCAGGCUUCUCUGGCAGCUCAAAAAGCUCAAGAAGUUCUUAACAGGCACUCAUGGUAUCUAACUGAGGAGAUCUCAGUCUUCAGUCUCUUUUCAAAUAAGGUUUCUGCGAAAGAAAAGGCCAACAUUGCAUUAAAGUUAUUAGAUGUAGGAAGACCACUUGCUAUCAACUCUGGAAAACCUAAUCUUCCAUCUAUUCACAAGAACUUAGAGAUAUUGCCAUAUAUUGGGAAAAGAUCUUGGUUGCUCUUUCAUAACUUAAACGAUAAAGGUAAAUGGCUCAAACUUCCUCCUUCAGAAUGGGAGGAAGAUGGAAACUUUUUAAAGAUGAAACAUUUUAUCAAAACAGUUAAGGUUACAAACGAUGAUGCAGAGCGAGGAAUCAAGUUAUGUUCAGAUUAUCUUCAGAUACUCACAAAGGAUGAGGCAGUACGAAACGAAAUAAUAGAAGUCAUUGAAAAUCAUAGAAAACUUGUUGGUAAUUUCAAUAAGAAGGAAUUAUUUUCUGACUUGGUUCAAUUCAAAUAACAAUUUUCGUUAUACCAUUCAUCACUGCACGAGAUAGCACCUUGCUUAUAUAUAAUGAUGGAUUCGUUUUUUAAAGUUAAAAUAUAUUUUGUGUAAUAAUUAAAGCAUUUUAAACAUUUGGAAUAGAUGCUAAAUAUGUCCCAAUACCACAUCACCUAAGUUUUUGUAGUGAUAUUUUU